rnacentral:misc_RNA from 1 species
UUGCAAUCAAUUGAACUCAGGGCCACUCACUAUUUGGAAACAACAAAGCGCACAUCCCUCCUAAACCUCAUUUCUUACUCGCUGUUUCGAAUCAAGAACAACCGUUUUGGACAGCUUGCAGCUUCUAUACAGAACAGGUCAUUUGUACAUCUUGCAACCUGUACAUACUCCAGAUACGCUUUGUCCGAUAAGCACAAAUAUUACCUUUAUAGUAUGCAUCUUCAGGUUUUUCCACUCACGCCUCAAAUUUUAUUCCAGCCUUUGUAUCUCAUUUCAAUAAGUAGCUGUGCUCAGCUGCUUACCACACAUCAAAAAGAAGAAACUACAAAGGACCAAACAACGAUCGAUGGACAACUCAAAAGGAAAAAAAAUAAUAUGCCCUCAAUGGAAGCUCCUCCAAAAAGAUGUCUUUGGAAUGUUGACAUAAAUUGA